rnacentral:rRNA from 1 species
CCUACGGGAGGCAGCAGUGAGGAAUAUUGGUCAAUGGACGCAAGUCUGAACCAGCCAUGCCGCGUGCAGGAAGACGGCUCUAUGAGUUGUAAACUGCUUUUGUACGAGGGUAAACGCAGAUACGCGUAUCUGUCUGAAAGUCUCGUGCGAAUAAGGAUCGGCUAACUCCGUGCCAGCAGCCGCGGUAAUACGGAGGAUUCAAGCGUUAUCCGGAUUUAUUGGGUUUAAAGGGUUGGUAGGCGGUCGGAUAAGUUAGAGGUGAAAUACCGAGGACCAACUUCGGACUUGCCUUUGAUACUGGUCGGCUUGAGAGUAGUUGCGGAAGGCGGAAUGCAUGGUGUAGCGGUGAAAUGCUUAGAGAUCAUACAGAACACCGAUUGCGAAGGCAGCCUACCAACCUACUUCUGACGUUGAGGCACGAAAGCGUGGGGAGCAAACAGGAUUAGAUACCCUAGUAGUC